rnacentral:tRNA from 1 species
GGCGAGGUAGCUCAGCCGGUUAGAGCGUCGGAUUCAUAACCCGGAGGUCGGGAGUUCAAGUCUCCCUCUCGCUACUA